rnacentral:rRNA from 1 species
UGAGGAAUAUUGGUCAAUGGGCGGUAGCCUGAACCAGCCAAGUAGCGUGAAGGAUGAAGGUUCUAUGGAUUGUAAACUUCUUUUAUAAAGGAAUAAAGUGAGGCACGUGUGCCUUUUUGUAUGUACUUUAUGAAUAAGGAUCGGCUAACUCCGUGCCAGCAGCCGCGGUAAUACGGAGGAUCCGAGCGUUAUCCGGAUUUAUUGGGUUUAAAGGGAGCGUAGAUGGGUUGUUAAGUCAGUUGUGAAAGUUUGCGGCUCAACCGUAAAAUUGCAAUUGAUACUGGCGUCCUUGAGUACAGUUGAGGUGGGCGGAAUUCGUGGUGUAGCGGUGAAAUGCUUAGAUAUCACGAAGAACUCCUAUUGCGAAGGCAGCUCACUAAACUGCAACUGACAUUGAGGCUCGAAAGUGUGGGUAUCAAACAGGAUUAGAUACC